rnacentral:lncRNA from 1 species
CACAAUCUCGUGAACAUCUCAUAUGAGUAGCUUGUAUGCGCUCUCCUUCUACUACCGCCUAUGUUUAAGAAUUUGGCAUGCUUCAAUUUCUUCCAGCCAGUUUUCUCCAGCGAAAUAGCCACAACACCACCCAAAAAUGCACCACUGUCAAAAGCAAACCCUCGACUUUCUUCAAAACAAGAUCUGAAAAUUCACUUUCUACACCAUUAGUGGUUGAUUUUUGAGUUAGGUUUGAAGGAGCCAAGUCAAGAGAGGUCUGUGGCGAGUUCUUUGGUUUACG